AGAAAUGCUCAACUCCUGAUGCAUGGAGAAAAGGCCUUCACAAGCCUCUGCUAUUGUGUACAUAGUUUAUACUAAGUGACCCAUAGGUUGAGGAGGCGGUGACCGUGGUGGUGUAGGUGGAAGCAGCAGUGGAGGAGGUAGCCGACACAGAGAUUAUAUAUAGCUGUUGACAUUAGUUGCCCAGGCACUUUGUUGACUCUAGAGAACCUCGGGCCAAUCGCACAUCCCCGUGACGGCGACUUUGCACUCGGAUGUCAUCCAUAUCAAAUUUCAGUGCCAGUUUCUGCGCCUACCAUGGUGACCACGGGUAACGAGGAAUCAGGGUUCCAUUCCG